GCAUAUGCUUACAACAUAGCGUUAAUGCAUCGGAUUCCAUUAAAACUCCAUAGUUAAGCACACUCGGGCUAGAGUAGUACUGGGAUGGGUGAUCGCCUGGGAAGUCCUAGUGUUUUACAUGCC
rfam:Picea glauca, whole genome shotgun sequence.